UUUAGUGACACAGAAACAAAAUAAGCUUUUUUUAAAUGCUCCUCUGCCUCUUUAAUGUAAAUUAGCUAAGCAGGAGGACUCUGUGGAAACUUUACGUUAACAGCAAACUAUCUUGAAGUACAAAAAGAAAACAACCGCGGAACGUCGGAGGUUUGGAGUUGCUUGGAGUUCUUUUCUGGCGGUUACCGUCAUCUGAAGAAACUGGUCACUGCAACUCCAGCAGAUGCAGAGAGAAGCCUCUCUCUGCCCAGUACCCCAAGACUGAUUGCACUUGGUUCAUUCUGAGAAUAAACCCUGAUGACACCAAAUGCCUAAAUCACAAAAUCAAAAUCACAGAUCAGCCGGGCAUCUGGAAAAAGGGUGCAGAGAAAAAUCGCCAGCCUGAAUCCUCUUGUGACAUCUUUCAUCAGAGAGCUUGUUGAAUUCGAUUGGCCAAAUUAUUGAAAGAAAACACGACUAAAACAUGUUUUUACUGUUUGAUUUGUUCUGCUUUUCAGAAUGUUUUUCAGAAAUUUUUAGCCAUGUUACAAAUACACAGGAUGAAUUCAAACACAUUUGUAGAAUGUACUUUUUAAAGUAAAUGUUAAAUAAUGAAAUAGUUAAACAAUAAAACAGCACAUUUUAAUGACAAAUGUUCAUAAGAAUUUAUGCAUUUUUGGGGGAUUAAAAAAUGUAUAGUUUACAGCUAGUGGUUUUUCAUUCGUUAAACAUCAGUUACACCUGUUGUUAAUUUCAUUAAUUGGUUCGUCUUUUUAUACUCUGUGUUUGGUUUUGUUGCUUUGUUUUCUGAGUAUUUUCAGUUCUAUAUUAAAUAAAACUUUGACUGCUGCGAUUAGAUCAGUUUCAUCCAACUUUAUUGCAACCUUACCAGUGACAUGUAGAUUAAAAUUUUAUUAAUUUUGUAACAAUAAAGCAAAUGAAGCUAGACCCAAAUCUACAAAAAAAGUCUGAGUAAUAUGAAAUCAAUUCUA